rnacentral:lncRNA from 1 species
UUUUGUAGAAACUUUAUAAAUGAGAAAGGCUUGGAAGAAUGUCUGGUCUUGAGUCAGAUGAGUUAGCAUCAGGCUCCUUACACAUUGGGUAUUCCAGAAUAGGGCCGGAGAAGCCUUGGAACUAUAGAUCUAAAAGGAUCUGAAGGGGAACCAUCGAAGUCAGACAUCAACACUUCGACAACCAUGGUUUAAUGGUAGAAUGGGGUGCGUACAGGCCAUCCAUGGCCUGAGAAGACAUGGAUUCCGGUGGAGUGGUGGUUGAAAAGGGGUAGAAUGAGACUAGGGUUUCGAAGAGCUUUGAGAGAGUGUGAGAGAUGAUGGGAUUCAAAGGCUG